UCCCUGGAGGACUAGUGGUUUGGCCACAGUGCUCUCACCCCUGUGGCCCGGGUUCAAUUCCUGGCCAGGGAA
rnacentral:tRNA from 1 species